GAGUUUGAUCCUGGCUCAGGAUGAACGCUAGCGGCAGGCCUAAUACAUGCAAGUCGAACGGUAAGUAGAGUAGCAAUACUUUACCAAGAGUGACGCACGGGUGCGUAACACGUAUGCAACCUACCCUUUACAGAUGGAUAGCUCGGGGAAACUCGAAUUAACCCGUCAUAAUAUAAUUGGAUGGCAUCAUUUGAUUAUUAAAACUGAGGUGGUAAAGGAUGGGCAUGCGUCUGAUUAGCUAGUUGGUAGUGUAACGGACUACCAAGGCGAUGAUCAGUAGGGGAACUGAGAGGUUGAUCCCCCACACUGGCACUGAGAUACGGGCCAGACUCCUACGGGAGGCAGCAGUAGGGAAUAUUGGUCAAUGGGUGAGAGCCUGAACCAGCCAUGCCGCGUGCAGGAAGAAGGCCUUCUGGGUUGUAAACUGCUUUUGCCAGGGGAUAAAAUGACCUUGCGAGGUUAAUUGAAGGUACCUGGUGAAUAAGCCACGGCUAACUACGUGCCAGCAGCCGCGGUAAUACGUAGGUGGCAAGCGUUGUCCGGAUUUAUUGGGUUUAAAGGGUGCGUAGGCGGCCCUGUAAGUCAGUGCUGAAAUAUUCCAGCUUAACUGGGAGGGUGGCAUUGAUACUGUGGGGCUAGAGUACAGAUGAGGUAGGCGGAAUUGACGGUGUAGCGGUGAAAUGCUUAGAUAUCGUCAAGAACACCUAUAGCGAAGGCAGCUUACUAGGCUGUAACUGACGCUGAGGCACGAAAGUGUGGGGAUCAAACAGGAUUAGAUACCCUGGUAGUCCACACUGUAA
rnacentral:rRNA from 1 species